rnacentral:rRNA from 1 species
CGGGGCUUAAAGUCUUGUAAUUGGAAUGAUGGGAAUUUAAACCUCUUCCAGAGUAUCAAUUGGAGGGCAAGUCUGGUGCCAGCAGCCGCGGUAAUUCCAGCUCCAAUAGCGUAUAUUAAAAUUGUUGCAGUUAAAAAGCUCGUAGUUGAAUUUCUGCUGCAUUGCUUGUGUCCCUCUGGGGUCUGUGCAUGUGGCUUUUUUCGGACAAAGUUUCUUUGUCUGAAUGUUUACUUUGAGAAAAUUAGAGUGCUCAAAGCAGGCUUUCGCCUUGAAUAGUUUAGCAUGGAAUAAUAAAGUAGGACUUUGGUUCUAUUUUGUUGGUUUUAGGUACCAAAGUAAUGGUUAAUAGGAACAGUUGGGGGCAUUCGUAUUUAACUGUCAGAGGUGAAAUUCUUAGAUUUGUUAAAGACGAACUACUGCGAAAGCAUUUGCCAAGGAUGUUUUCAUUAAUCAAGAAC